rnacentral:rRNA from 1 species
UACGUAGGGUGCAAGCGUUGUCCGGAAUUAUUGGGCGUAAAGAGCUCGUAGGCGGUCUGUUGCGUCGGCUGUGAAAACCCGGGGCUCAACUCCGGGCCUGCAGCCGAUACGGGCAGACUAGAGUUCGGCAGGGGAGACUGGAAUUCCUGGUGUAGCGGUGAAAUGCGCAGAUAUCAGGAGGAACACCGGUGGCGAAGGCGGGUCUCUGGGCCGAAACUGACGCUGAGGAGCGAAAGCGUGGGGAGCAAACAGG